rnacentral:rRNA from 1 species
CAGAUGUGAAAGACCCGGGGCGUCAACCUCGGAAUUGCAUUUGAAACUAGGCAAACUAGAGUACUGUAGAGGGGGGUAGGAAGUUUCAGGUGUAGCGGUGAAAUGCGUAGAGAUCUGAAGGAAUACCGGUGGCGAAGGCGGCCCCCUGGACAAAGACUGACGCUCAGAUGCGAAAGCGUGGGGAGCAAACAGGAUUAGAUACCCUGGUAG